rnacentral:rRNA from 1 species
UACGUAGGGUGCAAGCGUUGUCCGGAUUUAUUGGGUUUAAAGGGUGCGUAGGCGGCCUGAUUAGUCAGUGGUUAAAGAUUGCGGCUCAACCGUAAUACGCCAUUGAUACUGUCAGGCUUGAGUGCAACAGAGGAAACUGGAAUGUGUGGUGUAGCGGUGAAAUGCAUAGAUAUCACACAGAACACCGAUUGCGAAGGCAGGUUUCUAUGUUGUUACUGACGCUGAGGCACGAAAGCGUGGGGAGCGAACA